CCGGACAAAGAAGAGGACACGUCAUCGCUUCAACUCGCCUCCUCCCUCCGUCUCCUCUCUUCCCAUAAAUGCAGAGAGCGAGCUUUCCUCAGCCUGUCAAUGCCGCAUUAAUUUCUUAAGCUUGUUUGCUUUGCUUUGCUUUGCUUUGCUUCGCUUCUCGGAAAGGAAGCCUUCGCCAAAUCUUCUUACUGAUUCGAGGGUUUGGAGGAGGAGGCGAGGCGAGACGAGAGAGAGAAAACGGAAGCAUCCGAGGGAGACCGCUUUAGGGAAUAGGAGGGUUAUGGGAUUUUGGCGAUGUCGGACGAGAAGCCGCCGGUGGAGAUCUGCAAGGGCGUGAAUGACCUCGACAAGGUGGUGCUUAGGGGCCUCCGCGGGAGCUCGGCAGAGGUGUAUUUAUAUGGGUGUCAUGUAACAUCUUGGAAAAAUAACCAUGAUGAGGAGUUGCUUUUUCUCAGCAGUAAGGCUAUAUUCAAGCCUCCAAAAGCUAUACGUGGGGGCAUCCCGAUAUGCUUUCCACAAUUUGGAAGCCAUGGAAAUCUUGAACAGCAUGGGUUUGUAAGGAAUAGGUUUUGGAGUAUUGAUAGUAGCCCUCCUCCUCCUACAGUUAGCUGCAAUAAAGCUUUCGUCGAUUUGAUCUUUAAACCAAGUGAAGAAGAUCUCAAGAUAUGGCCUUAUAGUUAUGAAUUUCGUCUAAGGAUUACCAUAGGACCUGGAGGAGAUCUAAUGCUGACAUCACGGAUAAAAAAUACUGAUGGAAGGCCAUUCUCCUUCACAUUUGCCUACCGCACUUACUUUUCCAUAUCUGAUAUUAGUAAAAUUUUCAGUGAAGUGCGAAUCGAAGGACUGGAGACUCUUGAUUACCUUGACAAUCUAAAAAGCAGGGAACGUUUCACAGAACAAUGUGAUGCUAUUACUUUUGAAUCUGAAGUGGAUAGGAUAUAUCUGGAGACACCAACUAAGAUUGCGAUUCUGGACCACGAAAAAAAGCAGACAUUUGUUUUGCGAAAAGAUGGGCUUCCUGAUGCAGUGGUAUGGAAUCCUUGGGAAAAAAAGGCCAAAUCCAUGAUGGAUUUUGGAGAUGAUGAAUACAAGCAUAUGCUGUGUGUGGAGGCUGCAGCUAUUGAAAAGGCCAUCACUCUAAAGCCUGGUGAGGAAUGGAAAGCAAGGAUGUAUCUAUCUGUUGUUCCAUCCUGUUAUCGUAGUGGGCAACUAGCUCCUUUGAGGGUUCUUCAAGGAUGAAAAUCAUGUCAGAAUCAAAAGUCUUAACAAUUUGACAACAUCCAUUUCCAGCAGCGGCGGCGCCCAAUCCGAACCUUGGUCCUUCAGAUCUCUCGAAGCACUCAAGUCAAUUCAGAACAGUAGGUACGAUGACAAACUUGUCCAAGUGAGGCUAAUUCAAUUCCUGUUUCCGUUGGCAAAAUUUUGUCCCUCGUCCCAAACUCUCCCGCUCUCCAACACAAGACAAUGUCAUUUGUCGGAGUGUCGAAGUCACAACCGAUGCGUACAGCCAGUCAACGAAACGGAGAACUCAGCCGCAAGCGUUCGCACCAACAACGUGCGUAAAUCUCCGCAUGCUCCACAAAUUCUAAAUGCCCAAAAGUACUACAGUCUAUAGAGACGUUAAAAUAAUAAUAAAAAGGAGUUUGUGUAGGAAGCGAAAGAGAGAGAGAGAGAGAGAAAAAGGGGGAAACAGAAGAUAGCCAGUCGAGCGACUCCUUUGGUUCGAUCAAAUCCCAAUUCAACGCCCGGGACGAGAGAGAGUGAGGAGUAUAGCAGAAGCAGCAGCAGCAGCUACCGAAGGACGACGAAUUGAAGGAGCUCCCGUCCGCCGCCGGCGAUGAGCCCCGCAAUCCAAUCCAAGCGGCUUGGGCUAUUACUUGGAGCUCCGUGGGGUUCUGCAGGUCAGUGUUUCACCUUUUACACAGAUAUCCUCCCACUAGGGAAGAACUGUGUUGCGUCCUGCUAGAAUGUGUGACAAAGGUUAGAUAACUUAAAGUACCACCGGUUCUACCAUGUUUUCCUGACAAAUAUUAUUAACUACAUUUGUAUACGAUAGUUACUCAUUGCCGCUUGUCCAUUCUGUUUGGCUUUGAUUUCUGUGUUGCCCUUACAGGAAACAAUUAGUGCUGAAGUAUUUGUAGAAUCUCUAAGACAAGCAGUUCAGCAGCUGAUAUAUGGUAUUAUUAAAAUUAUUCUUAAGCUAUAAUAUUUCAGUUGGUAGAAGCAUCAUCCGGUUUUAUGGCGAAGUACAUGAUCUUUUUUGAAAGAGAGAAGCAAGGUUUAAAAUUUCGGUGCCAAAGGUCUGACUAGGAGAGAUAGGAGGAAGCGGAAGUGGAAGAGGAAGAGGAGGAAAGAGGUGACGACACAUAUCGAUAGGAGUAAAAAAAAGAAAAAAGACAAAGUUGAGCUCAGUUGCUAUGUUGUAGAUUAUUCCGUGAAAUUCUCUCUUAUGCAUAGAUUGGCAAAAACUGAUACGGAGAUACAGUUGGAGCUAGGAGGUUAGUAGAUUGACCUGUGAAUUUAUCAUUCUUGUGAUCAUUUUUCUCACUGGUCUGACCUUUUGCACUUUGUCAGCUGUAUCUUACUGAUCUAAAUCACAUCAUCAUGGUUUGUUCUGGUUAAUAAGAGCUUAUAUGAUGACUUUGCAUCUU